rnacentral:rRNA from 1 species
CUCCUACGGGAGGCAGCAGUGGGGAAUUUUGGACAAUGGGGGAAACCCUGAUCCAGCCAUGCCGCGUGAGUGAAGAAGGCCUUCGGGUUGUAAAGCUCUUUUGGCCGGGAAGAAAGGGUCUCUUCGAACAAAGGGGAUCUUUGACGGUACCGGCAGAAUAAGCACCGGCUAACUACGUGCCAGCAGCCGCGGUAAUACGUAGGGUGCGAGCGUUAAUCGGAAUUACUGGGCGUAAAGCGUGCGUAGGCGGUUCGUUAUGUCUGCUGUGAAAGCCCCGGGCUCAACCUGGGAAUGGCAGUGGAAACUGGCGGGCUUGAGUGUGGCAGAGGGGGGUGGAAUUCCGCGUGUAGCAGUGAAAUGCGUAGAGAUGCGGAGGAACACCGAUGGCGAAGGCAGCCCCCUGGGCUGACACUGACGCUGAGGCACGAAAGCGCGGGGAGCAAACAGGAUUAGAUACCCUGGUAGUCCACGCCCUAAACGAUGAUCACUAGGUGUUGGAGAAGCGAUUUUCCAGUACCGUAGCUAACGCGUGAAG